rnacentral:misc_RNA from 1 species
CUGGCUCUCUGCUUCUGGUUUUCGCCGUCGCUGUUUUCCCUUGGAGACCAUGCCGCUGAAAUGGGUUUUGCAUUGGCAACCCAAUGCAGGAACAACUGUGAACACCCAAAUCCUCAACGAGGUCUCGCAGUGCGUAGAGAGCAUAAACGGAGUUAAAGAAGGGAGGUGGAAAGCUACUCUAACCUCCUAUAAGCCCAUGGUUCGAGAACAGUCGCUAACUGCGGAAUUCCCUCGAGAUUUCUUCGGGAUUUCUCUGCCGGAGCAGCCAAACAAGUACUAUUUCAUGAUCAGGGGUCAAAGGCUCGUUGUUGAGGCGGAUUCAACAAUUCAGACCAUAAUGGAUAAACUUCAGUCUUACAAAUCGAGGGUGGCGCUUUGUUUUGAGGUUACUGAUCUGAUAGAAAAUUUUCGUUGGAUUUUUAAAUGUGAUUCUUUUGGUUGGUGUAAUCUGUGGUUGUGUUUGUAAUUUCUGUUUUCUGUAGGGGUUUCAGUAUCAACUUGGAGACUUUCAGUUGAGAGUGGGAAAGGUUGUUCCGAGUCAUUCUGAGAACUUGAGAGGAAUUGUUAUGGAGGUUGAGUAUCUUCCCAUAUCUUCAAUGGAGAAAGCCAGGCAAAUCAUGGAAGAAUUUGUUGAUAUAUGGCAAGAGGCCAUCUCAAAAAGAUCAUUACCUGGUCAUUUUAUGCAUAUAGAGCCUAAUUUUUCUGAGUACGGUCUCUUGGAUCAUUAUACUCCACAACAUACGGCUGUUCAAUAUGCUACUGUUGUGGCUCAAAUGAUUGCAACACAGACAGUGCAAGCAACAAGAAAUUAGGAAGCAGUGGACAUACUCUUCCAGUAUGCUUAUUGUAUAACUGACUUGUUUUUUGGAAGUUGAAAGAAUUGAUUGAUCAUGACAUUUAUGUUCAUGUGUUGUUAGAUACUAUUGUCUUCUCCACUUUCUUAAUUUGGCCAUUUAUUUCUUUUCGUGCCAGCGAAUAUGUGCGAGAAAAAUCAUGGAUCUAAAUAUCCUUUUCUCUGGUAUAAAAUAUAAUAUUGAGACGGCUUGAUCAUUUAGGUGCUUCUUAUUCAAUUCUUACACUGUAAAUGGUGUUCUUGGUCCAACAUGGUUCACGUUUAGAUACAACAUCUACUGCAGGUAAUGAAAGUGAUAGGC